CAGUAGCCGCGGUAAUACGAAGGGCGCAAGCGUUAAUCGGAAUUACUGGGCGUAAAGCGUGCGUAGGCGGUUUGUUAAGUCUGUUGUGAAAUCCCCGGGCUCAACCUGGGAAUGGCAAUGGAUACUGGCAAGCUAGAGUGUGUCAGAGGAUGGUGGAAUUCUCGGUGUAGCGGUGAAAUGCGUAGAGAUCGGGAGGAACAUCAGUGGCGAAGGCGGCCAUCUGGGACAACACUGACGCUGAGGCACGAAAGCGUGGGGAGCAAACAGGAUUAGAUACCCCUGUAGUCCCUGUCUCUUAUAC
rnacentral:rRNA from 1 species